GGAGGUAUAGCUCAGUGGUAGAGUGUAUGCUUAGCAUGCACAAGGUCCUGGGUUCAAUCCCCAGUACCUCUG
rnacentral:tRNA from 1 species